AAAUGCAAUCAAAGAUGAUAGAGUAUCCAGAGCAAUAGGGCAGUGCAGGAAGUUGGUGGGGCACUUCUCCCACAGUUGGAAGAAAAAGGCAGCGCUCACUGAGGCACAGAAGGAGCUUAAGCUUCCUGAGCACUCUCUCAUUACUGAGUGCCCUACAAGAUGGGGGUCCAAAGAGAAAAUGAUUGCCAGAGUGCUGGAACAGAUGACAGCCAUAUCAAAGGUAUUGUCAGGUGACCGACAUGCAUGCCCCCUCAUCCCAACCUGGCAGGAUGCUGCCGUGUUGAAGUCCAUUCAUAAGGCACUGCAUCCUCUCUCCGAAUUUACUGAUGCUCUUUCUGGAGAGGAGUAUGUGAGCAUCUCCUACCUCAAGCCAGUUCUCCAUCUUCUGGCAACAUCAGUCUUGGCUGAAGAUGCUGAGGACACUGAUCUGACUAGAUCAAUUAAAACCAAGGUCCUGGCUUACCUCAACGACAAGUAUAGUGACCUCAUCACCCAGGAGCUUUUGGAUGUUGCGUCUUUCAUGGACCCUAGGUUCAAAGCGCAAUACAUCAGCGCAGACAACCUUCCUGCCAUUAAGGCCCGACUGAAGACAGAAAUGGUGGAAUCAGCAAGACGUACACAUAAUCAGGAGAAGAGGUCUCGCACUGAAACCGCUCAAAAUUCUCCAAGUGCACAGGCCUCUGGGGGAAAGGCAAAGAAGUCUCUUGGUAGUCUUUUUAAAACCAGUGUGGCCUCUUCAGCUUUGCCUCUGCCACUUGAAGAUGUCGUGGAGGCAGAGUUGAAUAGUUACCUGUUGAGCCCUGUCAUUGACGGAGAGGAUGAUCCCUUAGCCUGGUGGAAGGUGCACAACAUUCACUUUCCACGACUGUGCAAGAUGGCCCGCAAAUAUCUAUGUGUGCCAGCCACAAGUGCCCCCUCAGAGCGUUUGUUCAGCACUGGAGGGAAUAUAGUGACUUGCACUCGCUCAUCCUUAAAGCCAGCAAAAGUUGAUAUGCUGGUCUUCCUAGCAAAAAACCUUGAGCUAUGAUGAUUAUGGCUGGCAGAGCCAUACUCAUUGUGCACUUUAGUUUGUGCUGUGUUACUGUUACUGCAGAUAAUCAAGAUGUUCAGCCAGUUUUAAUUUAAAGGUGUGUUUGUGUGUGUAUACAAUUGCUAUAUUAUGUUUGCACUUUAUGUGUAAUGUUACUGACUAGUUUUAUUUAUUUAAUAUUAUUUUUUAAUUUAAUGACUUUCUAGCAGUUCACAGAUGUCGAAAGUCGAGUGUGGUAAAGCCACAGAUUGUUUUUUUAUAUAUAUAUAUAUAUUUCUGCACAUUGUACUGACUUUCAUUUUAAUGUUUACACCAGGGUUCCUUGUCAGCACUUUAUGCUCAGAUGUUACUAUACUAUGCUCAGAGAUGUUACUACUCAAAAUAUACUAUUGUGUAUGUUCAAAUAUACUGUUUUGAUUGAA